UACUUAAUAAGCAUUAUCGUUUUAUUAAUAACGUAUCAUUUGGCUAUGAAUAAAAUUUAAGAACUAUUCAAUAAAUCCUCAUCGUCUUUAUCGAGUGUUUAUAGUUCUAAGGACUUCAUCAUAAUUAUAAGAGUUCUAUAAGAAAGAUGCAAAAAUAUGAUGAACUACUAGGUAAUAUUUAUUGAUUUAUUUAUGAUUUAUAUAAAAAAAGUAUAACUAUUUAUAGCUAGACGAUUGGCUUUAGGAUACAUUCCCAAUAUCCUAUGAUUAUGAGGACUUUGAAAAUUAUUUAUGGAAUGAUGGGAAAUUGAAGGGACUGACAUGUAAAUAGGAGGUGUCCGAAAGGACUAAGUAGUCUGCAAGACAUGACUCGGACCACCAAUUGGCUUAAGAGUCUGGAAAGAAAGCUGAUGAAUGGGUUGACUACUAGUAUGGUCAUCCUUUGGAGGAUGUUUACCUAGUCUGGACUCUCUCAGGGAUAGUUAGCGUUCGAUCUGCUAAUCGAUGAGAUUAGCUAUAUCUAUGUGGUGAUCAACCUGAUUAGUAUUAAACUCAUUAAGCUCAGUUUGAAGUCAGUCUAAUGAUUGGUAUAUUUGGUUUAAAGUCUUUUAGAAUGCAGUUUGAAAUAUUUUAACUGAUUCAAGCUCUUUUUUUAUAGCAGAAUAAUCAUCUUUCAAAUUAUCAAUCAUCAUGGU
rnacentral:lncRNA from 1 species